GCCGACGUAGCUCAGCUGGUAGAGCACAUCACUCGUAAUGAUGGGGUCGGGGGUUCGAGUCCCCCCGUCGGCU
rnacentral:tRNA from 1 species